UGACCUAGCUGGCAACCUUCGCGACGAGCAUGCACAUUUUUUACCAAACAAUGAUGACCCUCGCUUUCCCCGCAUAGGCUAACAAUAAACUAAAAAUGUACAUUUUACGUCUCGUGACAAAAUAAGAAAACAAUAGAGUCGUGCAGUGUGUUACGCACAGCUCUUCCCAGCCCAGACGAUGAUGACCCGGAAAUGGUACCGAUCGCCGUUAGCGAGUAAACCCAUCUUGAACGCUUGCACGCCGGGCGCGAAAAGAGCACUGGUUGACAUUAUCCGCCCAAGGAGUCGAAACAAAGCGAACGAAUGUGUCCGCCGGGCGCAGCGCACCGUUUGUGACACUCUCGCACCUGACUAAUGGUUUGGCUCGUUCGGAUCGCUCGUACCAAGCAACUAUCACUCCAGUUCUGCACCGCCCGUGUGAUCCCACACUGCCUUGCCCGCUGCCCUCGCUCGGCCUGGCCCGGAGGAUCGUAAAUGAUGACCGUGCAUUAAGGAUAGAUGGGUGAUGAGUUCGACAACGACAGGUCUGCCCGAGCUUCGUACACUGCCCGUGCAGUGUUUGCGUGAUCGAGCUGCCAGCACUCGAUCAAUGGUCCUCGAACCGAACAAUUUCAGCUUAUUUUUAGCGAGUUCCACAUUGCACUCCGACGACGUUCCCGUCUGUUCACCCUAUGCCCGAGCCCUAUGCCCGGGUUGGUUGCACCUAGCUUGACCUCGAUAAUUGGUGCAACCUUGGCAAUGGGUGGGUCCUUGGUCUCGCAGACGUUGCCGUUGCGCUGUGUGCAAACAACCCGAACCCGAAAGAAGAAACAGCAUAAACUGUCCACUCAACUGUACGCUCGUCUCAGCCCACCCGUCUUCCUCGGUCUGCAGCGAUUCGCUGGUGCAGGUGCCCACCGGUUGCUGCUUUCCCAGGAUGGGUGUGUGUACGAGCGGACCGACGGACCGCGACGCCGGUGACGACGGUACGAGCAAUCAGUGCAUCACGCGUUGACAGCUCUAACUAGGUCCCCGAGCACUGCCCGGGCACGCUUAAUGACGCAUCAAAAUUGCAAAUUUGGUUCAACAGUUGUUCCAACCUUGCUCUUGCACGUGGAGCGACGUUCUUUGGGGGAGAUGGGGGUAAAAAGGUGUGCAUUCUUGCGAGAGGACGUCAUCUGUACGCACUCUUGCGUACCCUUGUACCUUGUACACACACUCACAUCCAUAAUCCAAGAGACUGGUCCUGUAGUCGCGCGACGAAAUGAAAUAAAUCGUACGUUUUGUCCGCAAA